AUGGCCGACGCGGGUCAAAGUGUAGUAUCUGUUCUUAUCAGCUUAAUAUCUGAUACGGGGUGCAUUUGGACUGAAGAUAUUAAGCUUAUUUUUACAAGUUGGCGAAGUGCACACAGCGCUGUGUAUGGAUGUUGUAUGUUGGUCCCUCGUUUUACACGCUGUUAUUAAAUGGUGCAGACAACGUCCUCU